UACGGGGGGGGGCAAGCGUUGUUCGGAAUUACUGGGCGUAAAGGGCGCGUAGGCGGUUUGCUAAGUUGAAUGUGAAAACUCUGGGCUUAACCCAGAGCCUGCAUUCAAUACUGGCAGGCUAGAGUUCUGGAGGGGAUAGCGGAAUUCCUGGUGUAGCGGUGAAAUGCGUAGAUAUCAGGAGGAACACCAGUGGCGAAGGCGGCUCACUGGCCCGAUACUGACGCUGAGGUGCGAAAGCGUGGGGAGCAAACAGG
rnacentral:rRNA from 1 species